AAGCAGAUCCCUGGACGCAGAGCUGGGGAGUGACUGGGACCUCUGGAGGAAUAUCCUGGAGUGGGAGGAAUCAUUUGGAAAGCUGUGCUCGAGGCUUUAAUGAAUCAUGGCUGAGUCGGGGUUGGAAGGUUCACACAUACAGCCAUGGUGUUUAACUGCUGAAAUCCAUGUAAAUGUUUACCAUGGGUAUUGUGACAGUCUGGCUCGCUGUGGUGAUGUUGAUGACGUCACGGACCAGGAAGUAACUCAAACCAAAACAGUGGAUGGGCGGGUGAAGCUGAAUGCUGCGGCACUCAGCGUAUUUAUUAAUAAACAAAACAAAAGAUUUAACAAAACACAAAACAAAAGGGCACGAGGGCCAAAUGAAUGAACAAACAAGUAAGUGAUGUGCUGGGUAAUCCAGCACGUUUUAGCAAUUGUUUUUUAAAUGUUGCUUUCUCUCUCCGCUCUCCCGUACUCUCCUCUACACUCAGCCUCAAGUGCAGAGAGCUGCAGGUUUAUAUACUCUGGCCGAGGGAUUAACUAGUUGGUAAUUAUCUUAUUAUCCCUCGGCCAGAGUCUGCACGCGUUUGGUAAGGAUGCAUGACUGUCAGCUAGUUAAAUAAUCAGUAGCUGAUCAGCCAUGCAUCCUCACAGGGUUUUUAAAUAUAAAAUAAUAAAAGACGCAGCGCUUUUAUCCGCGCCGUAAACAAAAAUACAAAUAAUAAUACAUAGAGGCGGGACACUCCGCCACAGGUAUUUUAAGCAAUGCAAUGCAUUAGAAUUCAUUGGACUCUCCUGACUUUUAGUUGUAAUUAUUGAAGCCCCAUAGCACAAAAAUAUGCACCCCCCCAGCCUUUUGUUGUUGUUUUUUUCUAGUCAAACCCAAGGGGUAUUUCCCUGAAAGUCUGAAAGUAUCCAUUAAACGUAGAACACAGCGAUUGCUUUUAGUUGGGGGGAUGCUCUGAUCUGCCCCUCUGUGUUUCAGAGAAAGGGAAAGCCUGCUGCACAUAUGCUGCACAAAACAACAAGACAGUGUACUGACAGCCAGCCAGCUGGUGCUGGUGCAACUGACACACACAGCAGUGGAAUUACCAUGUGCAAGCUGAUUGAUUGUUCAACUGUUUUUAAGAUUCAAUUUCUAACUGGACUGUGAUACAAACACAGUUUGGGAUUUCAUUUAUGCAUAACUAUUAAAACUCAAUAGUGUUACAUUUAGAAAUUCUUAAAGAAACAUUCACUGGACAUGAUCGAGGGCUGUGUGGAGGAAGAGACAUUGAGAAUUGAUAAUAGAAGAUAUGUGUUUUAUAACUUAGAGAAGAGUAAGGAGAUUUCCCUUCACUCACGGAGAACCUUCCUCGUGGAGGACAAAUCCAGCGGCAGCUGGGCUUCUAAGGUUGGGAAGUGAGCUUCACGUACCCCCAAGAGGGAGACCGUUGCAGAGGAGGGCGCAGCUGCAGAGGAGGGCGCAGUUGCAGAGGAGGGCGCAGUUGCAGAGGUGGAGAGCUGAAUAGAAGAGGAAAGCAUAUUGGGGAGGAGAGGAGGAUGGUGGAAAACAAAAAAUCACAAGAGAGCAAACUCAAGGCUUGGGGUUUAAAUAGGGGUGUGGCAAUGUGCCCCGCCCCUGUGUGCAUUUCUGUGUUGUAUGUUAUGUGUGCUGUGUUAAUGUUGGUGUAUAGGCAUUGGUACACGGGAUAUAAACGGGUCUGUGUUUCACGUGUGUUUAAAAAUGUAUAAUUGUAUUUAAGCACAAGGAUUGCACAUUACUUCACAUGCAUUUAAAGUAAUUAAUAUGCGAGCACGAGGUUGCACAUAAUUAAUUCACGUGCUGGGAUUCAAGUGAAUAAUUAAUUAGUAAUUGAAUCCCGGCACAACAAUAUAUAUAGGUGCACGUUUCACUCACUCAGAGUUGUGUGUUCGGUGAGUGGAGAACGGGUGUGGAGAAGGAGGUAAAAUUAACGAAAAUAAACUAAAAUAAUAAUUGAUAGUUGUUUGUCUGUCCGUCCACUGUUUUGUUUAAUGUUAAUCCGUUUUGUUUGUCUAUUUAUUUUGGCCUCAAGUGCCGUGUCCUGUUUUUCUGUUUAAAACCUUUUGUUUGUUUAUUAAAACACUGAUCGCUGUCGCGACUCGGUUACA